CUCGUAGGCGGUUCGGUAAGUCGGGUGUGAAAACUCAGGGCUCAACCCUGAGACGCCACUCGAUACUGCUGUGACUAGAGUCCGGUAGGGGAGCGUGGAAUUCCUGGUGUAGCGGUGGAAUGCGCAGAUAUCAGGAGGAACACCAGCGGCGAAGGCGGCGCUCUGGGCCGGAACUGACGCUGAGGAGCGAAAGCGUGGGGAGCAAACA
rnacentral:rRNA from 1 species